UAGUUUAAAGCCAUUCCCGCUUGUCCUGUCACUAUCAGAUCACGUAAAAAGUUCAUUCUCCUCCUGUUUGUAAGCUCCCUUCAAAUACUGGAAGGCUGCAGUGAGGUCUCCCUGGAGCCUUCACUUCUCUGCGCUGAACAGCCCCUGCUCUCUCAGCCUGUCUCCAUAGGAGAGGUGUUCCAACUCUUUGAUCGUCUUUGUGGCCCUCCUCUGGACCUGCUCGAACACCUCCACCUCCCUCCUGUGCUGGGGGCCCCAAGCUUGGACACAGUACUCCAGAUGGGGCCUCACAAGGGUAGAGUAGAGGGGGACAAUCAUCUCACUUUACCUGCUGGCAAUCCCUCUGUUGAUGCAGCCUGGGAUACCGUUGGCUUUCUAGGCUGCAAGAGCACCUUGCUGGCUCAUGUCCAGCUUCUCAUCCAUCAGGACCCCCAAGCCCUUCUCUACAGGACUGCUCUCAACGCCAGUCUGCUCUCUUCUCCCAGUCUGUACUCAUACCUGGGACGGCCUCAACCCAAGUGCAGCAUCUUGCAUUUGGCCUUGUUAAACCUCGUUAGAUUCUCUUGUGCUCACUUUUUGAGUGUCUUUUUUUUUUUUUUAACAACAUUGCUCGGGUUACACUCACUAUGAUAGCUCAGUAGUCUUUUGAAAUCAAGUAGAUCCUAAAAAUACUGCAUACCAGUCUUUGUAGAUAAACAAUCAAAUCUGAGGUGGAUUUAAUGAAAAUCUGAUUUCUUCCUCAAAAUAAGUGCAUUGGCUCAAACUCUGAAAUAGCAUUUUAACUCCUGUCAGGAACCAGCUUCCCUUUCUUGUUUCAGGUACGUUUUUAAAUUCUAUUAUCAAUAUAUUUUUAUGGACAGAAGCUAGAAAGUUUAAAUGAUGUAGUUUUCUGAUUCUGCCUGGCAAAAGAGAAAACCACGUAUAUCUGUUAGCAUUUGUGGGAAGAACAAUGUUGCUUGUUCAUAUGUCCUUGUAUUUUAUUGCAAUAACUAGGAUUCAUCCAUAUGCCCAGGCAUUGUAAUUGGUAGCUUUAGGGGAACUGUUAUGUCACUGCCUGAACUGAUGAUUGAGCACCUGGUGAAGAGGGUGGCUGGCCCAGGAAGCACAGGUGCAAGCAAUUCACCGGUGCUUCCCACCUGGGGGGAAGGGUCACCCUUCCCUGGGCUCAUUUAAGGGCUAGCCUCCAGAGGGAGAAUGCCUUUUGGGUGAAGGCUGCUUCCUGGGAAGGUGUGUUUUACAGCCAGAGAGACUCUUAUCAGUGUUUGGGGACUGGAUAGCUUUCUUCUGAGAAGAGUCCUCAUUGACAUUUCUUCUGUUCUGCUCUUACAAAGUCUGCAGGAAAAGGUUGUACUGAGGAACUGCAUCCCACAGGUUCUGUGCAGCUUAAGAACCAAGCACGCUGACAAGUGGCUGAUUGUGCUGAAAUGCAACAGUGCUGGAGGGGGAAGAGACAGGAGGAAAUGCUAAGGCUUUUCAGAUAAUGUCCAUGGACUGGACAAGCAACAGGACAAUUUCCUUUCUGGGAACACCCUUGUGGGGCACACUAGAAACUAAGACACUCAACUCAUCUGAACCGAUGGAAAUAAAAUCAGGACAGAUGUGAGGCACAGGAACUGACUAAACCAGCUUUACCACCAAGAUUUCCUUCCUUAAGACGGAAAUGAUAACGUGCUGUCUGGGACGGAAUGGCGUCAUCGGGUCAGAAAUAGGCAGUGACGUGGUGAUGCUGGGAUGCUUGAUACGUCCUUCCUGACAUUCCCCCUCUAUGUAAGCGUUCCUGUUGACCCCCAGCCCUCCUGGCCACAGAAGUGGGUUUGCGGUGCGUGAUGCAGUCAGCGUCCUGCUUCAGCUGUGGUGCUGAACCAGGGGCUGCCCGGCACGCACCCCAAAUGGCCCUGGCUACAUGAUCUGCAUCUCUGUCCCUCUUUCUGUCUCUUUCUCUGUUUCUCAAGUCUACCUUCCUCUGUCCUCUCCCCCUCUUUUUAACCUGCAGUCACCUCCCACUUAAACAACUCAUCCUUAAUUACCUUUCACCUCUAUGGCAUCAUACAUUGCCAUCUGUCACACGGAACAAAUUCCCAUGUCACGUCCAGUCAUUUUCAAUGCACUUUUCAAUUGAAAAAUGCCUCCCUAGGAUGGGGCCUGCAGCCCUGGUAGCAUUUUAUCCCUGUUCACUUGAGCUUUUUUAGCUGUGCAAGGAACUCUUACUGACAGGUUCAUUUCUUUAGAAAAACAUCUGAGGUAAAAAUACUGAUACUGAAGUGGUUUGGGACUCAGGGACUGGGCUCUACAUUUGUUGCUCUGGUGGCUGAAGUGUGGGCUCUGCCUUGGGACCAUCAAUGUGACUGUGAAGGGAGCAUGAGUUAACCUGUGUCUGGUCAUAGGUGUGGACAUGAAGGAGAAGUACAGAAACUGGCAGCUGGCACUGGGGCCUUUACUGGCUUUUCUGUGGAUGGAUGAAGUUAGGAGAGGAUGAGAGCUGGCUGCAUGUUCAUACAGAAUGCUUCCUUGCAGCAGAUUUGGCACAAAGAGAAUGAUGUUACGUGUUGGCACUCCAAAGACACUGAAGCACAAUCUGCCUGCUCU